rnacentral:rRNA from 1 species
AUUGAACGCUGGCGGCAUGCCUUACACAUGCAAGUCGAACGGCAGCACGGGAGCAAUCCUGGUGGCGAGUGGCGAACGGGUGAGUAAUAUAUCGGAACGUGCCCAGUCGUGGGGGAUAACGCAGCGAAAGCUGUGCUAAUACCGCAUACGAUCUACGGAUGAAAGCGGGGGAUCGCAAGACCUCGCGCGAUUGGAGCGGCCGAUAUCAGAUUAGCUAGUUGGUGGGGUAAAGCCCACCAAGGCGACGAUCUGUAGCUGGUCUGAGAGGACGACCAGCCACACUGGAACUGAGACACGGUCCAGACUCCUACGGGAGGCAGCAGUGGGGAAUUUUGGACAAUGGGCGCAAGCCUGAUCCAGCAAUGCCGCGUGCAGGAUGAAGGCCUUCGGGUUGUAACUGCUUUUGUACGGAGCGAAACGGCUCUCUUUAAUACAGGGGGCUAAUGACGGUACCGUAAGAAUAAGCACCGGCUAACUACGU